AGAGUUUGAUCCUGGCUCAGGAUGAACGCUGGCGGCGUGCCUAACACAUGCAAGUCGAGCGAUCUACUUCGGUAAAGAGCGGCGGACGGGUGAGUAACGCGUGGGUAACCUGCCCUGUACACACGGAUAACAUACCGAAAGGUAUGCUAAUACGAGAUAAUAUGCUUUUAUCGCAUGGUAGACGUAUCAAAGCUUUUGCGGUACAGGAUGGACCCGCGUCUGAUUAGCUAGUUGGUAAGGUAACGGCUUACCAAGGCGACGAUCAGUAGCCGACCUGAGAGGGUGAUCGGCCACAUUGGAACUGAGACACGGUCCAAACUCCUACGGGAGGCAGCAGUGGGGAAUAUUGCACAAUGGGCGAAAGCCUGAUGCAGCAACGCCGCGUGAGCGAUGAAGGCCUUCGGGUCGUAAAGCUCUGUCCUCAAGGAAGAUAAUGACGGUACUUGAGGAGGAAGCCCCGGCUAACUACGUGCCAGCAGCCGCGGUAAUACGUAGGGGGCUAGCGUUAUCCGGAAUUACUGGGCGUAAAGGGUGCGUAGGUGGUUUCUUAAGUCAGAGGUGAAAGGCUACGGCUCAACCGUAGUAAGCCUUUGAAACUGGGAAACUUGAGUGCAGGAGAGGAGAGUGGAAUUCCUAGUAUAGCGGUGAAAUGCGUAGAUAUUAGGAGGAACACCAGUUGCGAAGGCGGCUCUCUGGACUGUAACUGACACUGAGGCACGAAAGCGUGGGGAGCAAACAGGAUUAGAUACCCUGGUAGUCCACGCCGUAAACGAUGAGUACUAGCUGUCGGAGGUUACCCCCUUCGGUGGCGCAGCUAACGCAUUAAGUACUCCGCCUGGAAGUACGCUCGCAAGAGUGAAACUCAAAUGAAUUGACGG
rnacentral:rRNA from 1 species